rnacentral:rRNA from 1 species
GGUUACUGCUAUCGGUGUUCGCCUAAGCCAUGCGAGUCAUAUGUUCGUAAGAACAUGGCGUACUGCUCAGUAACACGUGGAUAACCUGCCCUUGGGUCCGGCAUAACCCCGGGAAACUGGGGAUAAUUCCGGAUAACGCACAUAUGCUGGAAUGCUUUAUGCGUAAAAUGGAUUCGUCUGCCCAAGGAUGGGUCUGCGGCCUAUCAGGUAGUAGUGGGUGUAAUGUACCUACUAGCCUACGACGGGUACGGGUUGUGAGAGCAAGAGCCCGGAGAUGGAUUCUGAGACAUGAAUCCAGGCCCUACGGGGCGCAGCAGGCGCGAAAACUCUACAAUGCGGGAAACCGUGAUAAGGGGACACCGAGUGCCAGCAUCCUAUGCUGGCUGUCCGGGUGUGUAAAAUACACCUGUUAGCAAGGGCCGGGCAAGACCGGUGCCAGCCGCCGCGGUAACACCGGCGGCCCGAGUGGUGAUCGUGAUUAUUGGGUCUAAAGGGUCCGUAGCCGGUUUGGUCAGUCCUCCGGGAAAUCUGACAGCUUAACUGUUAGGCUUUCGGAGGAUACUGCCAGACUUGGAACCGGGAGAGGUAAGAGGUACUACAGGGGUAGGAGUGAAAUCUUGUGAUCCCUGUGGGACCACCUGUGGCGAAGGCGUCUUACCAGAACGGGUUCGACGGUGAGGGACGAAAGCUGGGGGCACGAACCGGAUUAGAUACCCGGGUAGUCCCAGCCGUAAACGAUGCUCGCUAGGUGUCAGGCAUGGCGCGACCGUGUCUGGUGCCGCAGGGAAGCCGUGAAGCGAGCCACCUGGGAAGUACGGCCGCAAGGCUGAAACUUAA